AUAUACAGACAACCUAAUUCCGCACACCCCUUCCCUCCCUCUCGAUUCAAAUCGGCGGCGGUGCUGGGUCCGGCCGACAGCGGCAGCUGCCUCCUCCUCAGAUUCAGAUCCAGUGGUAUCAAAAAAAAAAAUUCAGAUCCAGUGCCUCCCUGGCUCCCUCCCCUCCCGCCCGUUGCUCGACCCCGACCCCGACCGCCUCCUCCGCGGCUCCGGCCGUCGCGCACGCAGCUCCUUCCCUCGCCGCCGGGCGGAUCUCUCCACAGCCGUCCGCACGCGCAGCUCCUGCCCACGGUUCCGAGCGGAGCUCUCCUGCGGCCGCUCGCGAGUGGCUCCUACGCGCACCGCUGGGCGGAUCUCCCACGGCCGCUCACGCACGCAGCUUCUGCCCACGGUGCCUAGCAGAGCUCUCCCGCUCAGCCUGGCCUUCUACCAGGACAGCUCGACCAAAUGGACAGCAAGGGCAAACCAAAAAGCAGGAUUUCGUGGCCACGGUCUCUUCACCAGCGGUUCAAAUCCCCUUUUCUCUUGCUUGAUUUUUCUGAUCCAUUCAUUGGCCAUGCAGCUUGAGGUCAAGAGAAGGAUGGGACGGGGAAAUAAGAAGCCAAUCUACGUUUGUCUACUUUCUUUUUCUAAUGCUGCUGCUUCUUUUUCUAAUGCUGCUGCUUGAUUUGGACGGUGAUUCCGAGAAGCAAGUCUUGGCAUGGAGGGAAUCAUAGCUGUUCAUGGUGCUUGUAUAUGCCUCUGAAUCUUGGAGCAGAGCCUCCUCAACCUCAGUGACUGGCGCUCACAUGGAUUUCUAUUGCAUUUAUAGAAACCCAUCUGGGUGAGUGUAGAAUUUCUUUCUAUGGUCAUGUGUAGAAACCUCAUCUGGCAAGCACCAUCACUUUGGCCUAUUUUUUUAAAAUCAUAUAUAUGUUUGUGUUUGUGCAUAGAUACUAUUAGUUGACUGUGUGCCCAUGCUAUUAGUUGAUUGUGUGCCCAUGCUUGCAAUAAUAUACAUGCUAGUGUCUGAUCAUAGAUACUAUCUGUUUGCUGGUAGUCUCUUCUAUGCAUAGAUCAUAGUAUCAUACACAUGCUACCCAUGUUUUUUAUGAUUACCCUCACUGGUUUUUAUGCCUUCUGUUACCGAGGUGGGUUGCUGAGGUGGAUCCAAUUAAUGACAGCUCCCACAAUACAUCAUAUAUUUGUCUAGUAUUUUCCUCCCAUGUUUAUAUGAUCGUCCUCACUAGUUUAUGAUCACAUUCCAUUUUUGGUACUCCAUCGGAGCAUCCAUUCCUAUCAAAUGCAUGCUUCUAUGCCAAAAAAAACCCAGCUCUUAAUGUAUUGACCUGGCCAGGGCAUAAAAUUAACCAGCUUACCACCAUCCCAACAUUUGAAUGUAUGUGGAGAAUUAUAUACUAGUGUAGAGAGCCUUGUACGAUGGCAUAAACCUGUAAAGUCAAGCAUAUAAACAUGCAUCUAAUCAGACAUGAUGUUUGCCGCUUCAACACGACAUCAUUUGUUGCUUGAGCCUAACCAUGCUUCUAUGAUUUUCGUCACUGCUUUUUAUGCAUAGACACUAUAUAUCUUGAGCGUUUGAGCAUAGAUACUAACCUGUAUCUUAUGUUUCUAUGAUUGCCCUCACUGGUUUUUAUACCUUUUGUUGCUUCAUGUAGUUGCUUAGAUGUAUGUGAUUGCAAUUAUAUAUUUGUUUUGUUAUUUUUUCUCUCAUGUUUCUAUGACUGCACUCACUUAAUUUUAUGCCUUUUUAAAUUGCGAGGUGCAUUGUUGAUGAGGAUCUGCCGAAUGACGACUUUCAUAACUACAAGCUAGCAUCAUAGUCCUUACCAGCGGAGUGCAAACAUCAUUGAUUUUUGUAUUCGUAGUUUGUAUAUUUCUUAUUUCUUUUAGAAAAUUUAUGGUUCACACAACUGUACAUCUCUUUUUGUUUCAAAUUCUAGAUGGAUAUUGGUUUAUAUGCUUCCUUGUGAGGUUUAUAUGCCAUGUGAAAGUAUAAUUUGGAGAUAUAUGCACAUUUAUAUGUUUGCAUGAACA